rfam:Serratia symbiotica str. &apos;Cinara cedri&apos;, complete genome.
GGAGUUGAUUAGACAGUCGCCGCUUCAUUAUCUGCUCCUCAGAGAAAUGAGUGAAGGGGAGGAAAGUCCGGGCUCCAUAGGGCAAGGUGCCAGGUAACGCCUGGGAGGCGCAAGCCUACGACUAGUGCAACAGAAAGUAAACCGCCGAUGACCCGUAUAAACGAGAUCAGGUAAGGGUGAAAAGGUGUGGUAAGGGCACACCGCGCGAAUGGUAAUAUUCGUGGCACGGUAAACUCCACCCGGAGCAAAGCCAAAUAGGUAUUCAAUAGUACGGCCCGUACUGAAUUCGGGUAGGCUGCUUGAGCCAGUAAGUGAUUACUGGCCUAGAGGAAUGACUGUCCGUGACAGAACCCGGCUUAUCGAUCAACUCCUCUA